GAUGAAGAACGUAGUGAAAUGCGAUAAGUAAUGUGAAUUGCAGAAUUCAGUGAAUCAUCGAAUCUUUGAACGCACAUUGCGCCCGGCAGUACUCUGCCGGGCAUGCCUGUUCGAGCGUCAUUUCAACCCUCAAGCCCUGCUUGGUGUUGGGGUCCCACGGCCGCCGUGGGCCCUGAAAGGAAGUGGCGGGCUCGCUAGAACUCCGAGCGUAGUAAUUCAUUAUCUCGCUUAGGGCGUUGGGCGGCGCUCCUGCCGUUAAAGAACCAUCUUUAACUCAAGGUUGACCUCGGAUCAGGUAGGAAUACCCGCUGAACUUAAGCAUAUCAAUAAGCGGAGGA
rnacentral:misc_RNA from 1 species